GUGAUUUCUCGGCAGCAGCCGCCAGUUCCCUGCACUGGCGGAGCAGCUCUAGGCGGCUUCUACUUUCAGUUUCGCGCAGAGCGCGGAGGAGCCGCGAGCGCUGAGGGUGAGUGCCGGGAGCUCUGAGGGAGUCUGCACUAUGGAAACAACCUGUCAAUCCAGCUCAAGGCACACAUAGCCCAGACACCCAUGAGACCCUCUCCGUGGGGACCCUAGAGCACCUAUCAUGAACGAGGAGACCAAGGCCGGCUCCUCAUGGACCCCGUUGGCCUCCAGCUCGGCAACAAGAACCUGUGGAGCUGUCUUGUGAGGCUGCUCACCAAAGACCCAGAAUGGCUGAACGCCAAGAUGAAGUUCUUCCUCCCCAACACGGACCUGGAUUCCAGGAACGAGACCUUGGACCCUGAACAGAGAGUCAUCCUGCAACUCAACAAGCUGCAUGUCCAGGGUUCGGACACCUGGCAGUCUUUCAUUCAUUGUGUGUGCAUGCAGCUGGAGGUGCCUCUGGACCUGGAGGUGCUGCUGCUGAGUACUUUUGGCUGUGAUGAUGGGUUCACCAGCCAGCUGGGAGCUGAGGGGAAAAGCCAACCUGAAUCUCAGCUCCACCAUGGCCUGAAGCGCCCACAUCAGAGCUGUGGGUCCUCACCCCGCCGGAAGCAGUGCAAGAAGCAGCAGCUAGAGUUGGCCAAGAAGUACCUGCAGCUCCUGCGGACCUCUGCCCAGCAGCGCUACAGGAGCCAAAUCCCUGGGUCAGGGCAGCCCCACGCCUUCCACCAGGUCUAUGUCCCUCCAAUCCUGCGCCGGGCCACAGCGUCCUUAGACACUCCGGAGGGGGCCGUUAUGGGGGACCUCAAGGUGGAAGACGGUGCUGACGUGAGCAUCUCGGACCUCUUCAACACCAGGGUUAACAAGGGCCCGAGGGUGACCGUGCUUUUGGGGAAGGCUGGCAUGGGCAAGACCACGCUGGCCCACCGGCUCUGCCAGAAGUGGGCAGAGGGCCAUCUGAACUGUUUCCAGGCCCUGUUCCUUUUUGAAUUCCGCCAGCUCAACUUGAUCACGAGGUUCCUGACACCGUCCGAGCUCCUUUUUGAUCUGUACCUGAGCCCUGAAUCGGACCACGACACUGUCUUCCAGUACCUGGAGAAGAACGCUGACCAAGUCCUGCUGAUCUUUGAUGGGCUAGAUGAGGCCCUCCAGCCUAUGGGUCCUGAUGGCCCAGGCCCAGUCCUCACCCUUUUCUCCCAUCUCUGCAAUGGGACCCUCCUGCCUGGCUGCCGGGUGAUGGCUACCUCCCGUCCAGGAAAGCUGCCUGCCUGCCUGCCUGCAGAGGCAGCCAUGGUCCACAUGUUGGGCUUUGAUGGGCCACGGGUGGAAGAAUAUGUGAAUCACUUCUUCAGCGCCCAGCCAUCGCGGGAGGGGGCCCUGGUGGAGUUACAGACAAAUGGACGUCUCCGAAGCCUGUGUGCGGUGCCCGCGCUGUGCCAAGUCGCCUGUCUCUGCCUCCACCAUCUGCUUCCUGACCACGCCCCAGGCCAGUCUGUGGCCCUCCUGCCCACCAUGACUCAGCUCUAUAUGCAGAUGGUGCUCGCCCUCAGCCCCCCUGGGCACUUGCCCACCUCGUCCCUACUGGACCUGGGGGAGGUGGCCCUGAGGGGCCUGGAGACAGGGAAGGUUAUCUUCUAUGCAAAAGAUAUUGCUCCACCCUUGAUAGCUUUUGGGGCCACUCACAGCCUGCUGACUUCCUUCUGCGUCCCCACAGGCCCUGGGCACCAGCAGACAGGCUAUGCUUUCACCCACCUCAGCCUGCAGGAGUUUCUUGCUGCCCUGCACCUGAUGGCCAGCCCCAAGGUGAACAAAGACACACUUACCCAGUAUGUUACCCUCCAUUCCCGCUGGGUACAGCGGACCAAAGCUAGACUGGGCCUCUCAGACCACCUCCCCACCUUCCUGGCGGGCCUGGCAUCCUGCACCUGCCGCCCCUUCCUUAGCCACCUGGCGCAGGGCAAUGAGGACUGUGUAGGUGCCAAGCAGGCUGCUGUAGUGCAGGUGUUGAAGAAGUUGGCCACCCGCAAGCUCACAGGGCCAAAGGUUGUAGAGCUGUGUCACUGUGUGGAUGAGACACAGGAGCCUGAGCUGGCCAGUCUCACCGCACAAAGCCUCCCCUAUCAACUGCCCUUCCACAAUUUCCCACUGACCUGCACCGACCUGGCCACCCUGACCAACAUCCUAGAGCACAGGGAGGCCCCCAUCCACCUGGAUUUUGAUGGCUGUCCCCUGGAGCCCCACUGCCCUGAGGCUCUGGUAGGCUGUGGGCAGAUAGAGAAUCUCAGCUUUAGGAGCAGGAAGUGUGGGGACACCUUUGCAGAAGCCCUCUCCAGGAGCUUGCCGACAAUGGGGAGGCUGCAGAUGCUGGGGUUAGCAGGAAGUAAAAUCACUGCCCGAGGCAUCAGCCACCUGGUGAAAGCUUUGCCUCUCUGUCCACAGCUGAAAGAAGUCAGUUUUCGGGACAACCAGCUCAGUGACCAGGUGGUGCUGAACAUUGUGGAGGUUCUCCCUCACCUACCACGGCUCCGGAAGCUUGACCUGAGCAGCAACAGCAUCUGCGUGUCAACCCUACUCUGCUUGGCAAGGGUGGCAGUCACGUGUCCUACCGUCAGGAUGCUUCAGGCCAGGGAGGCGGACCUCAUCUUCCUUCUUUCCCCGCCCACAGAGACAACUGCAGAGCUACAAAGAGCUCCAGACCUGCAGGAAAGUGACGGCCAGAGGAAAGGGGCUCAGAGCAGAAGCUUGACGCUCAGGCUGCAGAAGUGUCAGCUCCAGGUCCACGAUGCGGAGGCCCUCAUAGCCCUGCUCCAGGAAGGCCCUCACCUGGAGGAAGUGGACCUCUCAGGGAACCAGCUGGAAGAUGAAGGCUGUCGGCUGAUGGCAGAGGCUGCAUCCCAGCUGCACAUCGCCAGGAAGCUGGACCUCAGCGACAACGGGCUUUCUGUGGCCGGGGUGCAUUGUGUGCUGAGGGCCGUGAGUGCGUGCUGGACCCUGGCAGAGCUGCACAUCAGCCUGCAGCACAAAACUGUGAUCUUCAUGUUUGCCCAGGAGCCAGAGGAGCAGAAGGGGCCCCAGGAGAGGGCUGCAUUUCUUGACAGCCUCAUGCUCCAGAUGCCCUCUGAGCUGCCUCUGAGCUCCCGAAGGAUGAGGCUGACACAUUGUGGCCUCCAAGCAAAGCACCUAGAGCAGCUCUGCAAGGCUCUUGGAGGAAGCUGCCACCUCGGUCACCUCCACCUCGACUUCUCAGGCAAUGCUCUGGGGGAUGAAGGUGCAGCCCGGCUGGCUCAGCUGCUCCCAGGGCUGGGAGCUCUGCAGUCCUUGAACCUCAGUGAGAAUGGUUUGUCCCUGGAUGCCGUGUUGGGUUUGGUUCAGUGCUUCUCCACUCUGCAGUGGCUCUUCCGCUUGGACAUCAGCUUUGAAAGCCAACACAUCCUCCUGAGAGGGGACAAGACAAGCAGGGAUAUGUGGGCCACUGGAUCUUUGCCAGACUUCCCAGCUGCAGCCGAGUUCUUAGGGUUCCGUCAGCGCUGCAUCCCCAGGAGCCUCUGCCUCAGUGAGUGUCCUCUGGAGCCCCCAAGCCUCACCCGCCUCUGUGCCACUCUGAAGGACUGCCCGGGACCCCUGGAACUCCAAUUGUCCUGUGAGUUCCUGAGUGACCAGAGCCUGGAGACUCUGCUGGACUGCCUACCUCAACUCCCUCAGCUGAGCCUGCUGCAGCUGAGCCAGACGGGACUGUCCCCGAAAAGCCCCUUCCUGCUGGCCAACACCUUAAGCCUGUGUCCACGGGUUAAAAAGGUGGAUCUCAGGUCCCUGCACCAUGCAACUUUGCACUUCAGAUCCAACCAGGAGGAGGAAGGCAUGUGCUGUGGCAGGUUCACAGGCUGCAGCCUCAGCCAGGAGCACGUAGAGUCAUUCUGCUGGUUGCUGAGCAAGUGUAAAGACCUCAGCCAGGUGGACCUCUCAGCAAACCUGCUGGGCGACAGCGGACUCAGAUGCCUUCUGGAAUGUCUGCCGCAGGUGCCCAUCUCCGGUUUGCUUGAUCUGAGUCACAACAGCGUUUCUCAGGAAAGUGCCCUGUACCUGGUGGAGACACUGCCCUCCUGCCCACGUGUCCGGGAGGCCUCAGUGAACCUGGGCUCUGAGCAGAGCUUCCGGAUUCACUUCUCCAGAGAAGACCAGGCUGGGAAGACACUCAGGCUGAGUGAGUGCAGCUUCCGGCCAGAGCACGUGUCCAGGCUGGCCACCGGCUUGAGCCAGUCCCUGCAGCUGACGGAGCUCACGCUGACCCAGUGCUGCCUGGGCCAGAAGCAGCUGGCCAUCCUCCUGAGCUUGGUGGGGCGACCCGCAGGGCUGUUCAGCCUCAGGGUGCAGGAGCCGUGGGCGGACAGAGCCGGGGUUCUCUCCCUGUUAGAAGUCUGCGCCCAGGCCUCAGGCAGUGUCACUGAAAUCAGCAUCUCCGAGACCCAGCAGCAGCUCUGUGUCCAGCUGGAAUUUCCUCGCCAGGAAGAGAAUCCAGAAGCUGUGGCACUCAGGUUGGCUCACUGUGACCUUGGGGCCCACCACAGCCUUCUUGUCGGGCAGCUGAUGGAGACAUGUGCCAGGCUGCAGCAGCUCAGCUUGUCUCAGGUUAACCUCUGUGAGGACGAUGAUGCCAGUUCCCUGCUGCUGCAGAGCCUCCUGCUGUCCCUCUCUGAGCUGAAGACAUUUCGGCUGACCUCCAGCUGUGUGAGCACCGAGGGCCUCGCCCACCUGGCAUCUGGUCUGGGCCACUGCCACCACUUGGAGGAGCUGGACUUGUCUAACAAUCAAUUUGAUGAGGAGGGCACCAAGGCGCUGAUGAGGGCCCUUGAGGGGAAAUGGAUGCUAAAGAGGCUGGACCUCAGUCACCUUCUGCUGAACAGCUCCACCUUGGCCUUGCUUACUCACAGACUAAGCCACAUGACCUGCCUGCAGAGCCUCAGACUGAACAGGAACAGUAUCGGUGAUGUCGGUUGCUGCCACCUUUCUGAGGCUCUCAGGGCUGCCACCAGCCUAGAGGAGCUGGACUUGAGCCACAACCAGAUUGGAGACGCUGGUGUCCAGCACUUAGCUACCAUCCUGCCUGGGCUGCCAGAGCUCAGGAAGAUAGACCUCUCAGUGAAUAGCAUCAGCUCAGCCGGGGGAGUGCAGUUGGCAGAGUCUCUUGUUCUUUGCAGGCGCCUGGAGGAGUUGAUGCUUGGCUGCAAUGCCCUGGGGGAUCCCACAGCCCUGGGGCUGGCUCAGGAGCUGCCCCAGCACCUGAGGGUCCUACACCUACCAUUCAGCCAUCUGGGCCCAGGUGGGGCCCUGAGCCUGGCCCAGGCCCUGGAUGGAUCCCCCCAUUUGGAAGAGAUCAGCUUGGCGGAAAACAACCUGGCUGGAGGGGUCCUGCGUUUCUGUAAGGAGCUCCCGCUGCUCAGACAGAUAGACCUGGUUUCCUGUAAGAUUGACAACCAGACUGCCAAGCUCCUCACCUCCAGCUUCACGAGCUGCCCUGCCCUGGAAGUAAUCUUGUGAGUGAUUGGAAGAGCCCUGAGCUGGCUGGGAAAAGGAAAAGUUGGGAGGGGUCGGGGGAGUUGGCUCCAGCCUGCUGUGUGGCCUGGAGCUGCUCCCAUCCUCUCUGGCCAGUCCUCCCAUUUGUAAAUGGGGAAGAUCAUCCUUACUCAGACAUCGUCUCAAAGACAUUUUAACACUUGAGCUGCAGGCUGUCCUGGAAUCUCCUGGGGGAUGAGGCGGCUGCCGAGCUGGCCCAGGUGCUGCCGCAGAUGGGCCGGCUGAAGAGAGUGGACCUGGAGAAGAAUCAGAUCACAGCUUUGGGGGCCUGGCUCCUGGCUGAAGGACUGGCCCAGGGGUCUAGCAUCCAAGUCAUCCGCCUCUGGAAUAACCCCAUUCCCUGCGACAUGGUCCAGCACCUGAAGAGCCAGGAGCCCAGGCUGGACUUUGCCUUCUUUGACAACCAGCCCCAGGCCCCUUGGGGUACUUGAUGGCCCCCUCAAGACCUUUGGAAUCCAGCCAAGUGAUGCACCCAAAUGAUCCACCUUUCGCCCACUGGGAUAAAUGACUCAGGAAAGAAGAGCCUCGGCAGGGCGCUCUGCACUCCACCCAGGAGGAAGGAUACGUGUGUCCUGCUGCAGUCCUCAGGGAGAACUUUUUUGGGAACCAGGAGCUGGGUCUGGACAAAGGAGUACCCUGCAUUACGUGGGAUAUGUGUGAUCAAUUGGGGACAUGCGACACACAAUGAGGGUGUCAUGACAAUGCAUGACACAUACGGUUAUAUGUGGCAGUGUGACCCCUUGACAUGUGGCGUUACAUGAAAGUCAGUGUGGCACGUGUUCUGUGGCAUGGGUGCUGGCAUCCCAAGUGGCAGGAUACAUGAUUGUUGGUCUAUAUAUGACACAUGACAAAUGUCCAUGUCACAGGACUCAUGGCUGGCCAGAUGACCUCAGGCUGGCCCAAGAUCUAAUUUAUUAAUUUUUAAAGCAAAUACAUAUUUAUAGAUUGUGUGUAUGGAGCAGCUAAGUCAGGAAAAGUCUUCCGCCCGAGCUGGGAGGGGAGAGUGUCCAUGCACUGACCAGUCCAGGGGCUCAAGGGCCAGAGCUCUGGAACAAGCCAGGGACUCAGCCAUGAAGUCCCCUCCUGCCUCAAUCCUCAGCCUACCCAUCUAUAUACUUGAUGACCCCUCCCUUACUUACAUACUAGCUUCCAAGGACAGGUGGAGGUAGGGCCAGCCUGGCAGGAGUGGAGAAGCCCAGUCUGUCCUAUGUAAGGGACAAAGCCAGGUCUAAUGGUACUGGGUAGGGGGCACUGCCAAGACAAUAAGCUAGGCUACUGGGUCCAGCUACUACUUUGGUGGGAUUCAGGUGAGUCUCCAUGCACUUCACAUGUUACCCAGUGUUCUUGUUACUUCCAAGGAGAACCAAGAAUGGCUCUGUCACACUCGAAGCCAGGUUUGAUCAAUAAACACAAUGGUAUUCCA